AUCACAGCAGUGCGGACGUCGUGGGUGUUUGGUGUGAGGCUGCGUGCCGCCGCGAGUUCUCACGGUCCCGCCGGCGCCACCACCGCGGUCACUCACCGCCGCCGCCACCACUGCCACCACGGUCGCCUGCCACAGACGGAGCCUCACUCUAUUGCCCAGGCUGGAGUGCAGUGGCACAAUCUCAGCUCACUGCAACCGCUGCCUCCCAGGUUCAAGCCAUUCUCCUGCCUCAGCCUCCCGAGUAGCUGGGAUUACAGGCGCCCACCACCACGCCCAGGUAAUUUUUGUAUUUUUAGUAGAGACGGGGUUUCACCAUGUUGGCCAGGCUGGUUUCAAACUCCUGACCUCAAAUGAUCCGCCCGCCUCGGCCUCCCGAAGUGCUAAGAUUACAGGUGUGAGCCACUGUGCCUGGCCUUCAGGAUGAUUUUAUUCUAAACCCCUAGAAAGCAGAGAGUAGGAUCAAAACCUUUAGGUUUGGAAGGCUUUUUACAGAUUUCAUUGUCUAACUAGCUGCUUUGCUUGGUUUUGAUGGUCUUCUGUGUCUAACCCA
rnacentral:sRNA from 1 species